rnacentral:rRNA from 1 species
AAUGAACGCUAGCGGCAGGCCUAACACAUGCAAGUCGAGGGGUAACUAGAGUGAUAGCAAUAUUACUUUGGCUAGACCGGCGCACGGGUGCGUAACACGUAUGCAACCUACCUUAUACUGGGGAAUAACUUCGAGAAAUCGGCGCUAAUACCCCAUAACAUUGCGAAGAGGCAUCUCUUUGCAAUUAAAGCUCCGGCGGUAUAAGAUGGGCAUGCGUCCAAUUAGCUAGUUGGUGAGGUAACGGCUCACCAAGGCUACUAUUGGUAGGGGUUCUGAGAGGAUGAUCCCCCACACUGGUACUGAGACACGGACCAGACUCCUACGGGAGGCAGCAGUGAGGAAUAUUGCGCAAUGGACGAAAGUCUGACGCAGCCAUGCCGCGUGCAGGAUGACGGCCCUAUGGGUUGUAAACUGCUUUUGUACGGGAAUAAACCCUUCUACGUGUAGGAGGCUGAAGGUACCGUAAGAAUAAGCACCGGCUAACUCCGUGCCAGCCGCCGCCGUAACAC